GCGGAGGAAAAGAAAAUAACAAUGAUUUCCCUAGUAACGGCGAGUGAAGAGGAAAGAGCUCAAAGUUGGAACCUGUUUGGCUUAGCUAAACCGGAUUGUAAACUGUAGAAGUGUUUUCCAGACACGCCUGGUAAAAAAGUCCUUUGGAACAGGGCAUCAUAGAGGGUGAGAAUCCCGUCAUUGGCCAGAGCUGUUGUCUUUUGUGAUACAUUUUCAAAGAGUCAGGUUGUUUGGGAAUGCAGCCUAAAUUGGGUGGUAAAUCUCACCUAAAGCUAAAUAUUUGCGAGAGACCGAUAGCGAACAAGUACCGUGAGGGAAAGAUGAAAAGAACUUUGAAAAGAGAGUUAAACAGUAUGUGAAAUUGUUAAAAGGGAACCGUUUGGAGCCAGACUGGCUUGAUCGUAAUCACUCUAGGCUUUGGCCUGGAUGCACUUGCGGUCUAUGCCGGCCAACGACAGUUUUGUUUGAGGGAAAAAAUUACAUUGAAUGUGGCCCUUCGGGGUGUUAUAGCUUUGUAAAAAAUACCUUGGACGGGACUGAGGAACGCAGCGAAUGCCUUUAGGCGAGAUUGCUGGGUGCUUGCGCUGAUACAUGCUAGAAUUUCUGCUUCGGGUGGUGCUAGUGUGUAAAGGAGUAACCCGCUUAGUAUAUUUUUUAUUCGCUUAGGUUGUUGGCUUAAUGACUCUAAAUGAC
rnacentral:rRNA from 1 species